CAUUGGGAUAAAAUAUUUUUUCAUCGAAAUAUUAAUAAAUUUUAUGAAACCCAAAGGCGAAAUGAAAGUAAAAUAAUUUUUAUUUGUAAAUUUUUUUUUUUUUAUAAAUUUAAAAUUUGAGGGAGGAUAUAUUUUAAUUAUGUAUUAAAUAUCGCACUCCCAGGGCAUCUUAUAUUAUUUUUAUAAUUAUUUUAUAAUUUUUAUAAUAAAUAAAGGUGCACCUAGAGCGUACACGCUGGGACCCGAAAGAUGGUGAACUAUGCCUGGUCAGGACGAAGUCAGGGGAAACCCUGAUGGAGGUCCGUAGCGAUUCUGACGUGCAAAUCGAUCGUCGGAACUGGGUAUAG
rnacentral:rRNA from 1 species